rnacentral:misc_RNA from 1 species
GAUGAAGAACGCAGCGAAAUGCGAUAAGUAAUGUGAAUUGCAGAAUUUAGUGAAUCAUCGAAUCUUUGAACACAUAUUGCGCCCGCCAGCACUCUGGCGGGCAUGCCUGUUCGAGCGUCAUUUCAACCCUCAGGCCUCGCGUCUGGCGUUGGGGCGCUGCGGCCCUCCCGCAGGCCCCCAAAUUUAGCGGCGGAUUCCCCGCGGCCCUGAGCGCAGUAGAGAGUAAAAACUUUAACGCUCCGGCGGCCGUGGCGCGGUUCUGCCUCUUUCCCAAUAGCGCCAAUAGCGCCACCCCCAAAAAAGUUGACCUCGGAUCAGGUAGGACUACCCGCUGAACUUAAGCAUAUCAAUAAGCGGAGGA